rnacentral:rRNA from 1 species
CGCAUGGACGAAGUCUGACGGAGCAACGCCGCGUGAGUGAUGAAGGUUUUCGGAUCGUAAAGCUCUGUUGUUAGGGAAGAACAAGUGCAAGAGUAACUGCUUGCACCUUGACGGUACCUAACCAGAAAGCCACGGCUAACUACGUGCCAGCAGCCGCGGUAAUACGUAGGUGGCAAGCGUUGUCCGGAAUUAUUGGGCGUAAAGGGCUCGCAGGCGGUUUCUUAAGUCUGAUGUGAAAGCCCCCGGCUCAACCGGGGAGGGUCAUUGGAAACUGGGAAACUUGAGUGCAGAAGAGGAGAGUGGAAUUCCACGUGUAGCGGUGAAAUGCGUAGAGAUGUGGAGGAACACCAGUGGCGAAGGCGACUCUCUGGUCUGUAACUGACGCUGAGGAGCGAAAGCGUGGGGAGCGAACAGGAUUAGAUACCCUGGUAGUCCACGCCGUAAACGAUGAGUGCUAAGUGUUAGGGGGUUUCCGCCCCUUAGUGCUGCAGCUAACGCAUUAAGCACUCCGCCUGGGGAGUACGGUCGCAAGACUGAAACUCAAAGGAAUUGACGGGGGCCCGCACAAGCGGUGGAGCAUGUGGUUUAAUUCGAAGCAACGCGAAGAACCUUACCAGGUCUUGACAUCCUCUGACAACCCUAGAGAUAGGGCUUUCCCUUCGGGGACAGAGUGACAGGUGGUGCAUGGUUGUCGUCAGCUCGUGUCGUGAGAUGUUGGGUUAAGUCCCGCAACGAGCGCAACCCUUGAUCUUAGUUGCCAGCAUUCAGUUGGGCACUCUAAGGUGACUGCCGGUGACAAACCGGAGGAAGGUGGGGAUGACGUCAAAUCAUCAUGCCCCUUAUGACCUGGGCUACACACGUGCUACAAUGGACAGAACAAAGGGCUGCGAGACCGCAAGGUUUAGCCAAUCCCACAAAUCUGUUCUCAGUUCGGAUCGCAGUCUGCAACUCGACUGCGUGAAGCUGGAAUCGCUAGUAAUCGCGGAUCAGCAUGCCGCGGUGAAUACGUUCCCGGGCCUUGUACACACCGCCCGUCACACACGAGAGUUUGCACACCCGAAGUCGUGAGGUAACCUUUAUGGAGCCAGCGCGAGUGGGCAGAUGAUGGGGUGAGUCGACACACGGGUAGCCGU